CACUGGGACUGAGACACGGCCCAGACUCCUACGGGAGGCAGCAGUGGGGAAUAUUGCACAAUGGGCGAAAGCUUGAUGCAGCGACGCCGCGUGAGGGAUGACGGCCUUCGGGUUGUAAACCUCUUUCAGCAGGGACGAAGCGCAAGUGACGGUACCUGCAGAAGAAGCACCGGCUAACUACGUGCCGGCAGCCGCGGUAAUACGUAGGGUGCAAGCGUUGUCCGGAAUUACUGGGCGUAAAGAGUUCGUAGGCGGUUUGUCGCGUCGUUUGUGAAAACCAGCAGCUCAACUGCUGGGUUGCAGGAGAUACGGGCAGACUUGAGUA
rnacentral:rRNA from 1 species